rnacentral:rRNA from 1 species
UACGGAGGGUGCAAGCGUUAUCCGGAUUUACUGGGUUUAAAGGGUGCGUAGGUGGGCAGGUAAGUCAGUGGUGAAAUCUCCGGGCUUAACCCGGAAACUGCCAUUGAUACUAUCUGUCUUGAAUAUCCUGGAGGUGAGCGGAAUAUGUCAUGUAGCGGUGAAAUGCUUAGAUAUCAGGAAGAACACCGAUGGCGAAGGCAGCUCUCUGGGACGGUACUGACGCUGAGACGCGAAAGCGUGGGGAGCGAACAGG